ACGUUUUUCUAUUUGUCAUUUGGUUUAGGUAUUUUCUCUCAAAGCCUUUCAUCAUGGCAAACGUAGUGGCGCGAUUAACGGUUAAAUCCAGUGCAUUUAUUACAACAAGACAGCGUUUAGCAGUUUGCAAAUCGUUCUACAGAAAUGCCAGCUUCGGGUAUCGACCAAACUUACAGCCGAAAAACAAUCGUCGCCUGCUGUCGCUUUUGGGCUGCAGCGCUGUCUCUUUGGCGGCACUGGCAGCAUUUAUCACAUUUCGAAGUUCCGUCAAUAAGGCGAAUGCAAUGAGAAAAAAGAGCCUGCACCGUGACGAGACGGAGCUGGAGAAUAUCAAGCUCACCGCUCGAGAAAGGCGUUUCAUCAAGUUCGCCUCUGUGGAGUACGACGAUCAGUUGUACAUGACCCCACAGGACUUUCUUGAAUCUGUGGUGGAACAGGAACCCAGACCACGUCUUAAGCGUCGUGUUCUCAGCACAGAAGAGGUGGAGAAAUACAAGGAUCAAACGCCACCAGUGAAAAAGGGUUCCUCGCGUCUAUUUCGUAAUCUCAGAGAUAAAGGCAUCGUUUCCUACACGGAGUACUUAUUUUUGCUCUCCGUAUUGACAAAGCCCAAAUCGGGCUUUCGCAUUGCUUUCAACAUGUUCGACACCGAUGGCAAUCAGCGCGUGGAAAAGAUCGAGUUUCUAGUCAUUGUUUCAAUUUUGGCCGGUGCCUUUAAACACAUACAAGACGUUGAUCCGAAAACAAAGGAAAUUCUGCUUCGUUUAGUACCUUAUGAGGAGCCGAAUACGUCUAAGGACAAUAAGCGCACUUCGGAAGCAAGUCCAAAACCGAGGGGAUUUAUGGAGCGCAUAUUCAGUGGCGCUUGGAAUGAGAAGCACGGCGAUCAAUUGAAAAAAGAUGAAGAGGACUUACCUGAACAACCAGACGAGCGCGAUUAUGCAAAUGAUACUGAGGGACUGCAGCGACGUCAUCAGGUAUCCACUACGUUGCAGUUGCAUUUGUUUGGCAAACGCGGCACGGGAUUCAUUAACUAUGACAACUUCUAUCGCUUCAUGGACAAUUUGCAAACGGAGGUGCUCGAACUGGAGUUCAACGAGUUCUCCAAGGGCCAAACUCAUAUAACUGAGUUGGACUUUGCCAAAAUUCUAUUACGCUAUACUUAUCUGGCCACGGAUGAGUACGAUGUGUUCCUAGAGCGACUGCUGCAUCGGGUCAAGGAUGAGAAGGGAAUUUCCUUUAAUGAUUUUCGCGAUUUUUGUCAUUUUCUGAACAAUUUGGAUGACUUCACCAUUGCAAUGCGAAUGUACACGCUGGCCGAUCGUGCCAUCUCCAAGGAUGAGUUCGGACGUGCCGCUAAGAUCUGCACUGGGUACAGUCUUAGUGAGCAUUUGAUUGACACUGUCUUUGCCAUAUUCGAUGCGGAUGGCGAUGGACUGUUGCACUAUAAGGAGUUUAUAGCGAUUAUGAAGGAUCGAUUGCAUCGGGGCUUUAGACGAUGUGACUCACUUUAAAUGUGACCGAUUAAAUUGAGCUGACGACAUAAUACGAGUCCAAAGAUAUACGUAUCGCGAUUAGCAAUCAGUUUUAUUUGCUUUUUUGUUAUUCUUAGACUGGUGAUGAUGAUGGUCAGAAAUCAAAUAAAUCCGAUGGCGAUGCAAAGUCAGUGGCCAAGAAUGAGGGCUGGGAUGCCUUUAAGUUCUGCCUGCAUCACGAAAUGAAAGCGUUAAAGAAAGGAUCCAACUAAUUAACGAAUACGUGGAGUCCUAAUCCAAUCCAGGUUUGCUGCAUUGAAGAUGAAUCGAAAGCUACGCCAAAAUGAACCAAAACAAAAUUCUAGUUACCAAUUUUUUCUUCCAAAGAAUUCAAAUCUCUUGUGUUAGCUCAAAGUACUUAAAAGAAACUAUUUGUUAUUGUUAAAUAAUUAAAUUAUUUUUGAAUUUGUUAAACGAAAUUCGUUAUGCCAAACUUUGUUAUAUGAUUUGAGAACUUUAUGAGCAAUUAACACAAACAAAUGCUGUUGUUAAUUUAAAAGAAAUCAAACAAAAAAUAAACACAAUAUUUAUUUA